CCUACGGGGGGCUGCAGUGAGGAAUAUUGGACAAUGGGUGGAAGCCUGAUCCAGCCAUCCCGCGUGCAGGAAGACGGCCCUAUGGGUUGUAAACUGCUUUUAUCUGGGGAUAAACCUACUUACGUGUAAGUAGCUGAAGGUACCAGAAGAAUAAGCACCGGCUAACUCCGUGCCAGCAGCCGCGGUAAUACGGAGGGUGCAAGCGUUAUCCGGAUUUAUUGGGUUUAAAGGGUCCGUAGGCGGACUGAUAAGUCAGUGGUGAAAUCCGACAGCUU
rnacentral:rRNA from 1 species